rnacentral:rRNA from 1 species
AGUGGAUGGGGAGCAACCUAGUUGUGCGUGUGUAAAGGUAGUGCCAAGAAAAGCGGUGAUCAUGAUGAAAAUCAAUUCCCGGUACCCGAAACCGACACAGGUGGGCAAGUAGAGAAUACUAAGGGGCGCGAGGUAACUCUCUCCAAGGAACUCGGCAAAAUGACCCCGUAACUUAGGGAGAAGGGGUGCCACCGAGAGGUGGUCGCAGUGAAGAGGCCCAGGCGACUGUUUAGCAAAAACAUAGGUCUCUGCAAACUCGAAAGAGGAGGUAUAGGGGCUGACGCCUGCCCAGUGCCGGAAGGUUAAAGAAGUUGGUCAGUCUUAGGAUAAAGCUAGCGACUGAAGCCCCGGUGAACGGCGGCCGUAACUAUAACGGUCCUAAGGUAGCGAAAUUCCUUGUCGGGUAAGUUCCGACCCGCACGAAAGGCGUAACGAUCUGGGCGCGGUCUCGGAGAGAGGCUCGGCGAAAUAGGAUUGUCUGUGAAGAUACGGACUACCUGCAUUUGGACAGAAAGACCCUAUGAAGCUUUACUAUAGCUUGGAAUUGUGUUCGGGCUUCCUGUGCGCAGGAUAGGUGGGAGGCGAAGAAGGUAUUCUUGUGGGGAUACUGGAGCCAACGGUGAGAUACCACUCUCAGGAGGCUAGAAUUCUAACUUAAUUAAGGACAGUUUCAGGUGGGUAGUUUGACUGGGGCGGUCGCCUCCAAAAAGGUAACGGAGGCGUACAAAGGUUCCCUCAGACUGGUUGGAAAUCAGUCGCAGAGUGCAAAGGCAGAAGGGAGCUUGACUGCGAGAAGUACAGUUCGAGCAGGGUGGAAACACGGUCUUAGUGAUCCGACGGUGCUGUGUGGAAGGGCCGUCGCUCAACGGAUAAAAGUUACUCUAGGAUAACAGGCUGAUCUCCCCCAAGAGUUCACAUCGACGGGGAGGUUUGGCACCUCGAUGUCGGCUCAUCGCAACCUGGGGCAGAAGUACGUCCCAAGGGUUGGGCUGUUCGCCCAUUAAAGCGGUACGUGAGCUGGGUUCAGAACGUCGUGAGACAGUUCGGUCCAUAUCCGAUGUAGGCGUGAGAAUAUUGAGAGGAGCCUUCCUUAGUACGAGAGGACCGGGAAGGACGCACCGCUGGUGUACCUGUUAUGAUGCCAAUUGUAAACGCAGGGUAGCCAAGUGCGGAGAGGAUAACCGCUGAAAGCAUCUAAGUGGGAAGCCCACCUCAAGAUGAGUAUUCUGGUGUAAGGUCACGGGAAGACGACCCGUAAAUAGGCAUGAGGUGGAAGUGCAGAGAUGUAUGAAGCCGAAGUGUACUAAUAGACCGUCGGCUUGAC